GAUGAACGCUGGCGGCGUGCCUAAUACAUGCAAGUCGAACGAGGUGCUUUUGUAGCAAUACGAGAGUAUCCUAGUGGCGAACGGGUGAGUAACGCGUGGAUGACCUGCCCCAAAGUGUGGGAUAACAGUCCGAAAGGAUUGCUAAUACCUCAUGUGGUUAUCGGUUUUAGAAAGCGAUAACUAAAGCAGCAAUGCGCUUUGGGAGGGAUCUGCGUCCCAUCAGCUAGUUGGUGAGGUAACGGCUCACCAAGGCGACGACGGGUAGGGGACCUGAGAGGGUGGCCCCCCANAAUGGAACUGAAACACGGUCCAUACACCUACGGGUGGCAGCAGUAGGGAAUAUUGCUCAAUGGGCGAAAGCCUGAAGCAGCAACGCCGCGUGUGCGAUGAAGGCCUU
rnacentral:rRNA from 1 species